rnacentral:lncRNA from 1 species
GCCGCUUGCCGCACCCCCGAGCCUGAGCCCGUCUACCUCGUGGCUGCCUGAGGCCCGGUUAGCCUGGCCUCCAGAGCUCUUGGACUGCAGCACCCAUAAUGAUGGCCAAAGCCGCCCCCACGGCGACUCCUCCUGCUGAAGCAAAGUCAGGCAGAACAAUAAGAUGAGCAUGGUGGUGCAGGCCUGUAAUCUCAGCUCCUCAGGCGGGAGGAUCACUUGAUCCCCGGAAGUUUGAAGCUGGACUGCGCUGACCGCACCUGUGAAUACCACUGCCCGUCAAUCAGCCUAGGGGAAACAUUCUCGAGUGCGAGCAUGACGGCUUAGGUUGAUGUUUUUCAAAUUUUCCCAAUGAUGAGUAUUGUAAGGGACCAAAAUAAAAAAAUGCCAAUGCCUAGUCCCCUCUCAUCUAGAAUAAUUCCAUAGGUGAUGAUGGGGUCCAGGACUCUGAAUUUCGUCAAUUUUACCAAAUACUUCGUCCAGUGAGGCAAAUAUGGAAACACUUGGAUCACCUCUUCGUGAACGCACAUCAGCGCAUACGCCGGCUGUUUUUAUCAGGCGCUCACCCCUCAUCCAAUGGCGUGACUAGUUGUGGGUGGAGCCCGAAAUCUGGCUGCCUAGAGAAGGCUGAAGGUCCAGUUAUAGCAUAACUAAUGUUUCCCCAGAGCUCACAUACGUGCCAAGCACCGUGCUACAGCCUCCACAGCCCCUUCAUUUAAUCUUCCCGAUGGGCCUAUGAAAUAGGUGCUCCUGGCCCGCACCGUGGCUCAUGCCUCUAAUCCCAGCACUUUGGGAAGCUGAGGAGGGAGGGUCGCUUGAGUCCAGGAUUUCAAGACCAGCCUGGGAAACACACAGAGAGCCUAUCUCUACGAAAAUUUAAAAAAUUAGCCGGGUGUGGUGAUGCCUGACUGUGGUCCCACCUACUUAGUAGGCUAAGGUGGGAGGAUCCUCUGAGCCCGGGAAGCUGAGGCUGCAGUUAGCACUGCACUCCAGCAUGGGCGACAGAGUGAGACCCUGACUCAAAAAAAAAAAAAAAAAAGAAUAGGUGCUACUUGUAGUUCCCAUUUUACCCACCAAGAAACUGAAGAUCUGAGAGACAAAGCCUACAGGGUGACCGCUAGUCACUGGUAGGGCUGGGAUUUGAACAGGGGCGGUUUAACAACUGAUCUCUCGACCAUAAUGCGUGUUGCCCAAGAAAAAAGACCGUCCUCACGGUCCUAUCCACUCCGGACUUUGCAAUUCCGUUAUUUCGUAAAUUGAGGCCUAUAAAUAGUUUGCUUACCCGUUGUCUUAGUCCCCAGUAACAUGCAGAACUAAAGAAGAAACUGAAGGAGCACCGAUUUUGUUCACCUUGCUUUUUGGUUUAGUUCUGGAGGAGAACACAGGUGCACUUAGAACAGGAUCCACACUUACCAGAGGCUUGAUUCAUUUUAGCUGCAAAGAAAACCAGUCCUCGUCUAC